rnacentral:rRNA from 1 species
UACGAGGGGAGCAAGCGUUGUUCGGAAUCAUUGGGCGUAAAGGGCGCGUAGGCGGCCAGACAAGUCUGGGGUGAAAUCCCUCGGCUCAACCGAGGAAUGGCCUUGGAAACUGUAUGGCUGGAGUACUGGAGAGGAAAGCGGAAUUCCCAGUGUAGCGGUGAAAUGCGUAGAUAUUGGGAGGAACACCGGUGGCGAAGGCGGCUUUCUGGACAGUCACUGACGCUGAGGCGCGAAAGCUAGGGGAGCAAACGGG